GAUGAACGCUAGCGACAGGCUUAACACAUGCAAGUCGAGGGGCAGCGGGGCUGAAGCUUGCUUCAGCCGCCGGCGACCGGCGCACGGGUGAGUAACACGUAUGCAACCUGCCCUAUGCCGGGGGAUAACCGGAAGAAAUUCCGACUAAUACCGCAUAACACCGCUGGAGGACAUCCUCCGGAGGUCAAAGGAAGUGAUUCCGGCACAGGAUGGGCAUGCGGCGCAUUAGCUAGUUGGCGGGGUAACGGCCCACCAAGGCGACGAUGCGUAGGGGUUCUGAGAGGAAGGUCCCCCACAUUGGUACUGAGACACGGACCAAACUCCUACGGGAGGCAGCAGUGAGGAAUAUUGGUCAAUGGGCGGAAGCCUGAACCAGCCAAGUCGCGUGAGGGAAGACGGUCCUAUGGAUUGUAAACCUCUUUUGUCGGGGAGCAAGGCCGUUCUCGUGAGAGCGGAAGGAGAGUACCCGAAGAAAAAGCAUCGGCUAACUCCGUGCCAGCCGCCGCAGUAA
rnacentral:rRNA from 1 species